CUUCGGGGUGCCCAGGCGCGAAACCUCUGCACUAGGCGAAAGCUUGACAGGGUUACUCUGAGUGAUGUCCGCUAAGGGCAUCUUUUGGCACCUCUAAAAAUGGUGCAGAAUAAGGGGUGGGCAAGUCUGGUGUCAGCCGCCGCGGUAAUACCAGCACCCCGAGUGGUCGGGACGAUUAUUGGGCCUAAAGCAUCCGUAGCUUGUCCUGCAAGUCUUCCGUUAAAUCCACCUGCUCAACAGAUGGGCUGCGGGGGAUACUACAGGGCUAGGAGGCGGGAGAGGCAAACGGUACUCAGUGGGUAGGGGUAAAAUCCACUGAUCCACUGAAGACCACCAGUGGCGAAGGCGGUUUGCCAGAACGCGCUCGACGGUGAGGGAUGAAAGCUGGGGGAGCAAACCUGAUUAGAUACCCGGGUAGUCCCAGCUGUAAACGAUGCAGACUCGGUGAUGGGUUGGCUUUGAGCCAACCCAGUGCCGCAGGGAAGCCGUUAAGUCUGCCGCCUGGGGAGUACGGCCGCAAGGCUGAAACUUAAAGGAAUUGGCGGGGGAGCAC
rnacentral:rRNA from 1 species